rnacentral:rRNA from 1 species
GACGAACGCUGGCGGCGUGCUUAACACAUGCAAGUCGAACGGAGAGGCCCUGCUUGCAGGGUACUCGAGUGGCGAACGGGUGAGUAACACGUGGGUGAUCUGCCCUGCACUUCGGGAUAAGCCUGGGAAACUGGGUCUAAUACCGGAUAGGAGCCAUUUUUAGUGUGAUGGUUGGAAAGUUUUUUCGGUGUAGGAUGAGCUCGCGGCCAAUCAGCUUGUUGGUGGGGUAAUGGCCUACCAAGGCGGCGACGGGUAGCCGGCCUGAGAGGGUGGACGGCCACAUUGGGACUGAGAUACGGCCCAGACUCCUACGGGAGGCAGCAGUGGGGAAUAUUGCACAAUGGGCGCAAGCCUGAUGCAGCGACGCCGCGUGGGGGAUGACGGCCUUCGGGUUGUAAACUCCUUUCGCUAGGGACGAAGCUUUUUGUGACGGUACCUAGAUAAGAAGCACCGGCUAACUACGUG